rnacentral:rRNA from 1 species
UACGUAGGGCGCAAGCGUUGUCCGGAAUUAUUGGGCGUAAAGAGCUCGUAGGCGGCCUGUCGCGUCUGCUGUGAAAGCCCGGGGCUUAACUCCGGGUCUGCAUUCGAUACGGGCAGGCUAGAGUUCGGUAGGGGAGAUCGGAAUUCCUGGUGUAGCGGUGAAAUGCGCAGAUAUCAGGAGGAACACCGGUGGCGAAGGCGGAUCUCUGGGCCGAUACUGACGCUGAGGAGCGAAAGCGUGGGGAGCGAACAGG